rnacentral:lncRNA from 1 species
AAACCCUGAAAAAGAAACCCAGAAGCCGAAAUGGGUCGUGUAAUCCGUGCCCAACGUAAGGGUGCAGGCUCCGUUUUCAAAUCCCACACCCACCACCGCAAAGGCCCCGCCCGGUUCCGGUCCCUAGACUUCGGCGAGCGCAAUGGGUACCUAAAAGGAGUGGUGACCGACAUCAUCCAUGAUCCGGGUCGUGGAGCUCCGCUUGCAAAGGUAACAUUUAGGCAUCCAUUUAGGUACAAGCACCAGAAAGAGCUGUUUGUUGCAGCAGAAGGGA